rnacentral:rRNA from 1 species
UACAGAGGUCCCAAGCGUUGUUCGGAUUCACUGGGCGUAAAGGGUGCGUAGGUGGCGCGGUAAGUUGGAUGUGAAAGCUCGGAGCUCAACUCCGAAAUGGCAUUGGAAACUACCUUGCUCGAGGGUUGGAGGGGGGACUGGAAUUCUCGGUGUAGCAGUGAAAUGCGUAGAUAUCGAGAGGAACACCAGUGGCGAAGGCGAGUCCCUGGACAACUCCUGACACUGAGGCACGAAAGCUAGGGGAGCAAACAGG